UACGGAGGGUGCGAGCGUUGUCCGGAAUCACUGGGCGUAAAGGGCGCGUAGGCGGCCUGGCAAGUCGGUGGUGAAAGCCCGUGGCUCAACUACGGGUCGGCCACCGAUACUGCUAUGGCUCGAGUUUGGUAGAGGCAGAUGGAAUUCCGGGUGUAGCGGUGGAACGCGUAGAGAUCCGGAAGAACACCGGUGGCGAAGGCGGUCUGCUGGGCCAAGACUGACGCUGAGGCGCGACAGCGUGGGGAGCAAACAGG
rnacentral:rRNA from 1 species